UGGGGCGUGGCCAAGCGGUAAGGCAAUGGACUUUGAAUCCAUGUAUCGGGGGUUCGAAUCCCUCCGCCCCAG
rnacentral:tRNA from 1 species